ACUUGGGGAUAGCUCAGCUGGUAGAGCAUGAAACUCUUAAGCUCAGGGUUGUGAGUUCAAGCCCCACGUUGGGCA
rnacentral:tRNA from 1 species